UACGGGGGUGCGAGCGUUGUUCGGAGUUACUGGGCGUAAAGGGUGUGUAGGCGGUUUUCUAAGUUUGGUGUGAAAUCUCCCGGCUUAACUGGGAGGGUGCGCCGAAAACUGGAAGGCUUGAGUAUGGGAGAGGUAAGCGGAAUUCCUGGUGUAGCGGUGAAAUGCGUAGAUAUCAGGAGGAACACCUGCGGUGUAGACGGCUUACUGGACCAUAACUGACGCUGAGGCACGAAAGCGUGGGUAGCAAACAGG
rnacentral:rRNA from 1 species